UACAGAGGUGGCAAGCGUUGUUCGGAAUUACUGGGCGUAAAGGGCGCGUAGGCGGUCUUGUAAGUCUUGUGUGAAAUCCCUCGGCUUAACUGAGGAACUGCACGAGAUACUGCAAGACUUGAGAUCGGGAGAGGGAAGCGGAAUUCCGGGUGUAGCGGUGAAAUGCGUAGAUAUCUGGAGGAACACCGGUGGCGAAGGCGGCAUCCUGGACCGAUAUUGACGCUGAGGCGCGAAAGCCAGGGGAGCAAACGGG
rnacentral:rRNA from 1 species